UUUUCGCAGGUGAACCUGCGGAAGGAUCAUUAUUGUAUAACCGAGGUGCGAGGGCUGUCGCUGACCCGAAAGGUCGUGCACGCCCGAGUGCCCUCACACACAUCCAUCUCACCCCUAUGUGCACCACCGCGUGGGUCCCCCUUUGGCUUGUUCGGAGGGGGGCUUACGUUUUCACACAAACUUUGUAUGCAGUGUAGAAUGUAUUUUUUGUUUUUGCGAUCACGCAAUCAAUACAACUUUCAACAACGGAUCUCUUGGCUCUC
rnacentral:misc_RNA from 1 species